rnacentral:rRNA from 1 species
AGAGUUUGAUCAUGGCUCAGGAUGAACGCUGGCGGCAGGCUUAAUACAUGCAAGUCGAACGGUAAGGCCGAGUGCAGCAAUGCACGAGGUACACGAGUGGCGCACGGGUGCGUAACGCGUAUGCAACCUGCCCCCAACCGGGACAAAACAGCUGGAAACGGCUGCUAAUAUCCCAUGGUCACUUAAAACGGCAUCGUUAUGAGUGUAAAGAUUUAUUGGUUGGGGAUGGGCAUGCGUAUUAUUAGGUAGUUGGCGGGGUAACGGCCCACCAAGCCGACGAUGAUUAGGGGUUCUGAGAGGAAAGACCCCCACACUGGAACUGAGACACGGUCCAGACUCCUACGGGAGGCAGCAGUAGGGAAUAUUGGGCAAUGGAGGCAACUCUGACCCAAGCCAUGCCGCGUGAAGGAAUAAGGCCCUAUGGGUCGUAAACUUCUUUUACCGCAGAGUAAACCCGGGGACGCGUCCCCGGUUGAGAGUAUGCGGGGAAUAAGUAUCGGCUAACUCCGUGCCAGCCGCGGC